UAAAAAGCCCAGACCUCAAAGACAGCUACGCACUUCAGGUCCCAUCUCAUUACUGAGAGCUUUUAUUUCACCCAGUGAAAUUCUAUUCUGCCUUACUCACUCUCUGGUGUCCGUGUUCCUCAUUCCUCUUGGUCAUAAGACAAGAACUCAGAACUCACCGAAUGGUAGGAGUGAAAGGGCUCUAACACCACUGUCUGCCAAGCUGUGAGAGGUCAAAUAAAAGAGCUGUAACCUUCUCUCCCACUCACCGAACAACAGGAGAGACGAAGCCACUGGGCACCACUCCCUCCCGUUCACUGAACUGUAGAAGUGGAAAAGCCACGGGGUGCCACAUAAUCCUGCUCACUGAUCUGCAGAAGACAAGAAACUGCUGGGCACCACUCUUUCCCACUCACUGAAUUACGGGAGCAAAAAAAUGGCACAACAAUUCUAAUUCAGGGGCAUAGAAGAUGUGGUGCUGCAUGGAGGGAUUCAUUUGUGCUUUUUUUCCUGGUUAUCAGUGAUUUUAUUUGCUUACUUCUAAGGAAUUUUAUAAAAGAUUUACACACAACUAAACAAGUAACUCAAAUUACAAAAAUCCUUUGGAGGAGGCACAAAAAUAAAUAUUCCAGGAGCCAUCAAGAUGAGCAUUUGAAAUUAAAAACAUAAAAUCUGUAGACAACCGCAUUGUUAAUAAUGAGGUGUUUGAUAUCCAGCAGCAAUUAUGGUCAGCCUUCAUACAAGUACAAGAAACAUAGAGUGAAUAAAAAUAAAACAGAAGAUUUACUAUCUCUGACGAAUUCAUGUGACCUUGAAUCUGGAAAGUCUAUGACCAAGGCACUAGCAUAUUGCAUGGCCCUUCUUGCUGUUCUGUAACAUGUCAGAAGACAUCACACGAGGAAGACAGAGAGAAAAGAGGGGUGAACUCAUCUUUUUAUUAGGAAUCUACUCCAACAAUAAUGAACCCACUGUUGAAAGAAUGGAAUUAAUUCAUUCAUGAGUUUUAGCUCCAACAGUUAAAGAGUCUGAAAGUCAUCACUUCAGUUCUGACAAGUUGAGAAAUCUUAACAAACUGAAACCUUAUGACUUUUCUUGAAGUUAUCAGAGACCUGAGGUCACAGAGCAAACUGAUAUCUUGAAAUAUGGAGAGAUAGGAUGAAUCCAAAAGUCAUUGCCAAGAUCUAUUCUUCUGGAGCAGAGGCUACUGGGGUCAGCAAGUCAGAACAAGUAAUCUUGAUGAAUGCUGAAGACUGAGUGUGAACUACAGGGAGAAGGAGCAACUUCUGAGGCUACAGUGUAAGUGGAUACUUUCUCCAGGACCCCCAUCAGUCUCUCACUGUCAGGAGCCAAGAAGGAUACCUUCCUGGCUCUAGCGGUGGGAAGGGAGGAAUAAUCAUUAUGAAAUAAAUUCAAGU